AUCCUGUCCACCGUAAGACUAAGGUUUCCAGGGGAAGGCUCGUCCGCCCUGGGUUAGUCGGGACCUAAGGAGAGACCGAAAGGUGUAUCCGAUGGACAACAGGUUGAUAUUCCUGUACUAGAGUAUGUAGUGAUGGAGGGACGCAGUAGGCUAACUAAAGCAGACGAUUGGAAGUGUCUGUCUAAGCAGUGAGGUGUGAACUGAGUCAAAUGCUUAGUUCUAUAACAUUGAGCUGUGAUGGGGAGCGAAGUUUAGUAGCGAAGUUAGUGACGUCACACUGCCAAGAAAAGCUUCUAGCGUUUAAACAUACUCUACCCGUACCGCAAACCGACACAGGUAGUCGAGGCGAGUAGCCUCAGGUGAGCGAGAGAACUCUCGUUAAGGAACUCGGCAAAAUGACCCCGUAACUUCGGGAGAAGGGGUGCUGACUUUAGGUCAGCCGCAGUGAAUAGGCCCAAGCAACUGUUUAUCAAAAACACAGCUCUCUGCUAAAUCGUAAGAUGAUGUAUAGGGGGUGACGCCUGCCCGGUGCUGGAAGGUUAAGAGGAGUGCUUAGGAGUAAUCCGAAGGUAUGAAUUGAAGCCCCAGUAAACGGCGGCCGUAACUAUAACAUAUCCUCAGUGCUCAGCNNNNNNNNNNCGGUCCUAAGGUAGCGAAAUUCCUUGUCGGGUAAGUUCCGACCCGCACGAAAGGCGUAAUGAUUUGGGCACUGUCUCAACGAGAGACUCGGUGAAAUUUUAGUACCUGUGAAGAUGCAGGUUACCCGCGACAGGACGGAAAGACCCCAUGGAGCUUUACUGCAGUUUGAUAUUGAGUGUCUGUACCACAUGUACAGGAUAGGUAGGAGUCUAUGAGAUCGGGACGCCAGUUUCGAAGGAGACGUUGUUGGGAUACUACCCUUGUGUUAUGGCCACUCUAACCCGGUAGGUUCAUCAUCUACGGAGACAGUGUCUGACGGG
rnacentral:rRNA from 1 species